rnacentral:rRNA from 1 species
GACAGAGGCCUCAAGCGUUAGGCGGAAUCACUGGGCUUAAAGCGUGUGUAGGCGGAUCGUUAAGUGCCUUGUGAAAUCCCACGGCUUAACUGUGGAACGGCUGGGCAUACUGGCGGUCUUGAGCCAUCUAGGGGCGACUGGAACAAACGGUGGAGCGGUGAAAUGCGUAGAUAUCGUUUGGAACGCCAAUGGUGAAAACAGGUCGCUGGGGAUGAGCUGACGCUGGGACACGAAAGCCAGGGGAGCAAACGGG